CCACGCCCGCAGGGUCCGACCUCCGGCUGUCCGGUCCUGGCAUCACUUCCCCGGUGCCAGAGCCGUACGGACGGGGAUCAGGCCACACGGUCUCCACCAC
rfam:Aeromicrobium sp. Leaf289 contig_4, whole genome shotgun sequence.